GAGAGAGCGCUGCGCAUGCGCCAGGCGGGCCGUUCGAAGGAGCGUCCGCGCACAGGCAACCCCCGGGCUCGCAGCGGCGCUGGAAUCACGCACCGCGAUCCAAAUUAGCACAAACCUGCCCGCAGAACGCGGCACUGGCACCGGCAGCCAUCCAGGGAAUGCUGGCUUGAAGAAGGAUGUCAAUAGUCACAGUCCAGCUUGGGCAGUGUGGGAACCAGAUUGGGCACGAGGUGUUUUGCUGCCUGUGCAGUGACAUCCGUGGCACUCACGGGCUCUGCUCCAAGAAGGAAAACCAAUCCUACCAGGAUGCCUGCAAGGAGAGGUUUUUCUGGGAGGAGGAAUCUGGAGUGCCUGUGGCCCGGGCUGUGCUGGUUGACAUGGAGCCCAAAGUCAUCAGCCAAACCUUAUCCAUGGCUGCCAGGUCUGGCUGCUGGAAGUACAACAACCAGUCCCACUUCUGCCAGAAGCAAGGCUCUGGGAACAACUGGGCCAACGGUUACUCUGUCCACGGGCCCAGACACAAGGAAUCAAUCAUGGAUCUGGUGCAGAGAGAAGCAGAGAGAUGUGACCGACUGGGAGGAUUUUUCACCAUCAUGAGCAUGGCUGGGGGCACAGGGUCAGGCCUGGGAGCAUUUGUGACCCAGUGCUUGAGAGAUGCUUUUCCAACCUCAUUUCUCCUAAACCACGUUAUCUGGCCCUAUGGCACUGGUGAGGUCAUUGUUCAAAACUACAACUCUGUUUUGACUCUGUCACAUCUGUACCGGUCCUCAGACGCCCUCCUUGUCCACGAGAACGAUGUCAUCCACAGGAUCUGUGCCCAGCUGCUGAACAUCAAACAGAUCUCCUUCAGGGACGUGAACCAAGUCAUUGCACAUCAGCUGGGCAGCGUUUUCCAGCCCGUUCACGCAGCAGAGGGGGGCUCAGACUACAGCAGGAACCCACUGGGAGAUUUGAUGGAGACACUGGUCCCACAUCCCGAGUUCAAGAUGUUGGGUCUCCGGAACAUUCCUCAGAUUCCUGAGAACUCCCUCCCCUACAGCACCUUCAGCUGGCCUGGGCUCAUCAAACAUCUGAGGCAGAUGCUCAUUGCUCAUGCCCAGAUGGAGGAAGGUAUUGACUGGCAAGUCCGACCACCUCCUCCAGGCUCCUCCACCCCCUCCAGCCAUUCCACAAAGAAGCCACUGCACUUCAACACUUCCAUUGCCAACCUGGUUAUCCUGAGAGGAAAAGAUGUGCACAGCGUGGACUUGGGAAGUUUCCAAGAUCCCUCCCUGUACACAUCAUGGCUAAAGCCUCAGGAUGCUUUUAAUGCCUGGAGAACACCAAGAGCAUUUAACAAGUAUGAAAAGUCUGCCUCUCUGGUCAGCAACAGCCAGUUCCUGCUGAAACCUCUCGACAGCAUUGUGGGAAAAGCUUGGAAUAUGUUUGCUUCCAAAGCUUAUAUUCACCAGUACACCAAAUUUGGAAUUGAAGAGGAAGAUUUCCUGGACAGCUUCACAACCCUGGAACAAGUUAUCUCCAGUUACACCACCCUUUGAUUUUAUUUCUUUUAAAUGGUCAGAAAUAGAGCUUUUCUGAAAGAACCCAGCACUGGAAAACCUCCCAUCAACUUCCUGAAGUAUGGAAAUGUCUGGGCUGGAGCUGGUUUUCAGUCUUGAAAGCAGUGUGUGUGUGUGUUAGGACAGCAAGAACUGACUCUGAGCUGAAUAUAUUCCUAUGGCCAGAAGAAACUGGAGGAAAGGUUGCAGAAGCUGAGACAAACAGCACAGGCACUGCAAGGAACAAAGGGUCAGGAAAGGAGACCCUGGUGAGCUUCUCCCUCCUGCAGGAGGCCCAGGAUGUUCAGCCACACAGACACCCCUGUCCCUGGUGUUCCCAACAGAUCCCAGACUGACCAGAAAUGGGGAACUGCAUGUCUGGAACAAGGGCCAAGUCCCAGCAAUGCCUCCUCCUGUCCCACAGAACAGCAGGAACAGGCAGCCGGGGGAGUUCAGAGGGAGCUGCUCGAGCAGAAACACAGCAGGACACCGGGACGGAGGGAAGGAGCUACAGACACAGGGAGCAGGAGCUGUCCUG